GGGGGUUUAGCUCAGUGGUAGAGCGCUUGCUCGACAAGCAAGAUGUCACUGGUUCAAGUCCAGUAACCCCCA
rnacentral:tRNA from 5 species